GGGGGCGUGUCGGCGGGGAAGCAGCCGCCCCGGCCUCGUGGUGUCUGGGGGGGCCGAGGUUUCCCGGGACCCAGCCGCUGGGUGCACGUGAGGCAGAACGGAGGGGUGCGGCACGGGGCCGUCCGCAGCCGGCGAGGUCGGGCUCGCGGCUAAAGCACCUCCUCGUCUUCCCCAGAGCUGGGAGUCAAAACCUUGCCUUUGUCCUGCGUAAAAUUCACGCCUAAACUCCCAUCUCUUUACGGUUCUCUGGGAUCUCGCUGAGAUUAUGGAUUCCUCGACGCCUUUGCCUCCUGAAACCCCCUCUCCGAUCUGCAACCCAGCCCCACGGACAAUUCACAUCGCCUUCCCUCGGCACAGCUCGUUGUUGCUGGAGUCCCUGAACCGCCACAGGCUGGAGGGAAAGUUCUGUGAUGUAUCCCUCCUGGUGCAGGGCCGGGAACUUAGGGCUCACAAAGCAGUGUUGGCUGCUGCCUCUCCUUACUUCCAUGACAAGCUGCUUCUGGGAGACGCACCGCGACUCACCCUUCCCAGUGUCAUUGAAGCCGAUGCGUUCGAGGGGCUGCUUCAGCUCAUUUAUUCAGGGCACCUCCGCCUGCCGUUGGAUGCUCUUCCGGCCCAUCUCCUUGUAGCCAGUGGCCUUCAGAUGUGGCAAGUAGUAGAUCAGUGCUCAGAGAUUCUUAGAAAACUGGAAACUUCUGGUGGUGGAGUUUCAGCCCGAGGAGGAGCCUCCUGCCACACGCUUCUUUCUGCCACGUCCUCUCAAGGAGGUUGGUGCCUUCGCUCUUCCCCUUUCCAGACUUCAGUGCAGCCCUCCACUGCUACUGAGAGUCCUGCUUCUACAGAGAGCCCCAUUGGAGGGGAGGGAAGUGAACUGGGAGAAGUAUUGCAAAUUCAGAUAGAAGAAGAGGAGGAGGAGGAGGAGGAAGAAGAAAAAGAAGACCAGGAGUCAGCAGCUACACUUUUGAGGAGCUCUCAGGCUCCUCAACCUCAGAGAGUGUCAGGGAGUUUUCCCUGUACUCAUGGCUCCCACCCACUGCCCAUAUCUGCUACUCCCCGCAGGCUUCCAGAGAGCGAGAGUGCACCACUUGAGCCUCCUGCCUCUCCUGCACUGCCCCCUAAAAUCUUCUACAUUAAGCAGGAACCUUAUGAGCCUAAGGAGGAAAUAGGAGGAGGUGGAACUCAGUCUGGAGGAGCAAAGGAGGAGACCAAAGUGUUUCCUGGAGGGGACUCUGAAGGGAAUGGUGAGCUAAGGUUCUUGUUACCCUCAGGAGCAGGGGCAACAUCUGGAAGUGGGGGUCCUUCCUGGAAACCAGUGGAUCUUCAUGGGAAUGAAAUCCUGUCAGGGGGUGGAGGACCUGGGGGAGCAGGGCAGGCUGUGCAUGGGCCUGUGAAACUGGGGGGAACACCCCCUGCUGAUGGAAAACGCUUUGGCUGCUUGUGUGGGAAGCGGUUUGCAGUAAAGCCAAAACGUGACCGGCACAUCAUGCUGACUUUCAGUCUUCGGCCUUUUGGCUGUGGCAUCUGCAACAAGCGCUUCAAGCUGAAACAUCAUCUCACUGAACACAUGAAGACCCAUGCUGGAGCCUUGCAUGCCUGUCCCCACUGUGGCCGACGGUUCCGAGUCCAUGCCUGUUUCCUUCGACACCGGGACCUAUGCAAGGAUCGGGGUUGGGCUACUGCCCAUUGGACUUACAAGUGACUGCUAAGAUGUACACUAACUCCUACGGAAAGACAGCCACUGCUGCUGGUGGAUACUUAACCCACCCUCAGUCCCGUAUCCUGUAAUCAUGCCAAGAGAUGUAUUUUGGACUUCUUGUUGACUAGUUUCGUUGAUGGAAGAAGAAUGGAAUGGUUUCACGAAUAGCCACAGAACACUAACUUGGACUUGGGCCCUGAUCUGCCACUGAAUAACCUCAGGUAAGUUACCUUUCACUGUCUGACAACUAUUACUAUUACUUGGUUUCCUGUCUUUUUUAAUUUAUUUUUUUAUUUUUUUGGUACCGGGGAUCAAACUUGGGUCCUUGCACUUUCGAGGCAGGUGGCGGAACCACUCCUGUGUUUUUUUUUUAAAAGGGAUUGGUUCACAUGAUCUUUACCUAGGAUAUUCCCCCAACUUCCUUAUUAGGUAUAAUGUUUAAUUUUUUCUUUUCGGCACUGGGGAUUGAACUCAGGACCUUGCGCUUGCCAGUCAGGCAUGGCGCCACUGAGCUACAUCUUUGGCCCGAUUGUUUUUUGAUUUAUUAUACAAAUAGUCCCAAAGCAUUAUACUAACCCUGUUUAACUCUGCUCUCAAAAAGUUCACGGCCAGUGCUGGAGCUAGAUAAAUAAUUACAACGUGGUAUAAGAAGUCCAUGAUGGGGACAGUACCAGCUACUUCAGUGGCACAAAGAAAGCUGACUGAGUAAAGACCUUCAUACAGAGGCAGCAGAGGUUUCACAAACAUUUCUUCCCUGUGCCAGAAUAUGGCCAUUAGUGUGGGUGGCAGAACUGAUACGGUGAUGGCGAAUAGGAGUUGAAGUGAGGGUCGGGGCCAGAAGUAAUCACCUUCCUAAAGUAUGUUCCUCAAAAGUUGUCAGGUGUGGCGUUUAGAGAAAUGUGACUUUGUGGCCGAGAAGGUGAAUCCUAGCUGGGAUUUGUUGGCCUCUUAAAGAGACACAGUCCCAUCUCCAUGGUAAGGACUGAACACAGCGGGAAGGAAGAUUGGAAAGGAGCCUGCCCAUCUUGGAUGGACUGGCCCCACCCAUCCACUGUUCUUGGCACUUACUCUAGGUGACCACCUUCUUUGGCAGCACAGAUCUGUUGGUUGCAAGCGUCUCAGCUGGUCUUGGCUCUCCUUACUGAAGGGGAAUUUACAGAAUUCCUGGAAUGGAAGGAAGGGCCCGAGGACCAGUGUUUGGAGAACAAGCUCAGGAUCAGCUCCGGGGUUCAUGGAGCAGGAAUUCUUGGUCAUAUGUUGUGAGGUGCUGAUGGGUUUUUUGUUUGGUGCUGGGGAUUGAGUCUGGGCCUUGAGCAUGCUAACCCCACACACUACCACUGAGCUGCACCCCAGCCCUGAUUCUUGUUUCUUUUGUCAUUGGUCUAAGGGUUAAAUUUCCUGGGAGAAAACUUUGAGCCUCAUGUCUGUCCUCUGGCCAGAGCACUUCCAUUCCACUCCAUCAAAACGUUGCCAAGAUGCACAUGUGCCAGCUCCCACAAUAAAUGCAAUUAGUGCUGCAAACAUGAACUAAUAAUCUUUUUUUAAUUUAAAAGAAAAGGAAAUAAUGAAAAGCAAAACAGCAACAACAACAAAAUCCAAAAUGUUGCUAUGGCAGCAAAGUGGGCACGGCAUCUUCAAAGGAAAAUGGGAGUGUCAGGACAGUGGAGAGUGUGCUGGUCAGCCCACAGCAGACUGCUCUCCAUUGAUUACCUCCUUGGGGGAUCCUUACAGCCAGCUGUGCUUUGCAUUUAGUGUUUAAGAAAUGUCAAACCAGCACGCCUGUAAUCCCAGCAUUCUGGAGGC